UUUUUAAUUGUGUAACAACAAAUUGGCUGAAUUCUGACGCUAGUAUGUAGAAACUCUCAAUCCAGAUUACUCGAGUCAACUUCGUACUUCACACAAUGAGAGGAAGUUGAUUGAAGUCUUCUCACAAAACGUUAUGGAAAUAAUACUUAGGUGGUUCGGACAGCCCCAUUCAUGCGUGUACAAUGUUGAACAAAAUCAGAAAGAUUCAAGUGUCAACUUCAACUUCGAAGUUUCAACUUGGGCUGGAAGCUUCAAGUGUGCAACUGUUCUCAACGGAGAAGGACUUUAUUGAUGCUUCUACUUCUUUUGCAUUGAAGGCUGGAGGCGUGGGACUGGGACAUGGAUGGAUUGUGCGAGACGCGACGCAAGGUUCAUGCUACACAGAGCACCAACAAAUGCUGACCUACAAGACCAUUCAAGAAUGUCAAUUGUGUUCUACCAGCAUAAAGGGCUCAAUAAGGACAAGGACAACCAUGGGUCUCCUCACUUGGCUCAGCUUUAUUGCAAAAUGCGAGACGACUGGAUGACUACAUCAGAAUGGUCAGAGUAAUGAGUGGGCGAAUGGUGGUUGAACGUCAUCUUCUUGCCUCAAGGAACCCAUAUCUGCAUCAGGUCAAUGUAGCUGAAAUUCGGCUGGCAAGUUAGUUUUCGGCAUAGCAACCACCCGGACACCAUGGUGACCAAGGGUCAGCACUCGUGUAUGAUCACAGGCUGGAGGCGUGGGACUGGGACAUGGAUGGAUUGUGCGAGACACAAGGCUCAUGCUACCCAGAGCACCAACAAAUGCUGACCUACAAGACCAUUCAAGAAUGUCAAUUGUGUUCUACCAGCAUAAAGGAGAAGGACAACCAUGGGUCUCCUCACUUGGCUCACAACUGUACAACUCACUACUUCAUCAAGAUAAUGUAGCUGAAAAUUAACUGGCAACAGAAGUUUUGCAGAGAAUCUACAUGCAAAGUAUCCACCAGGUCAACAUGGUGACCAAGGAUCAGUACUACCCAGCGAGUAAAUACUAAUCA
rnacentral:misc_RNA from 1 species